UACGGGGGGAGCAAGCGUUGUUCGGAUUUACUGGGCGUAAAGGGCGCGUAGGCGGCCACCGCAAGUCGACUGUGAAAUCUCCGGGCUUAACCCGGAAACUGCCAUUGAUACUAUCUGUCUUGAAUACCGUGGAGGUGAGCGGAAUAUGUCAUGUAGCGGUGAAAUGCUUAGAUAUGACAUAGAACACCAAUUGCGAAGGCAGCUCACUACACGAAUAUUGACACUGAGGCACGAAAGCGUGGGGAUCAAACAGG
rnacentral:rRNA from 1 species